UACAGAGGGUGCGAGCGUUAAUCGGAAUUACUGGGCGUAAAGCGUGCGUAGACGGUUAUGUAAGUCGGGUGUGAAAGCCCCGGGCUCAACCUGGGAAUUGCAUUCGAGACUGCAUAGCUAGGAUGCGGAAGAGGGAAGUGGAAUUUCCGGUGUAGCGGUGAAAUGCGUAGAUAUCGGAAGGAACAUCAGUGGCGAACGCGACUUCCUGGUCCAGCAUCGACGUUCAGGCACGAAAGCGUGGGGAGCAACAGG
rnacentral:rRNA from 1 species